rnacentral:rRNA from 1 species
UACGGAGGGUGCAAGCGUUAUCGGAAUUACUGGGCGUAAAGGGUGCGUAGGUGGUUUGACAAGUCACAUGUAGAAGCCCCGGGCUCAACCUGGGAAUGUCGUGUGAAAACUGUUGAACUUGAGUAACGGGGAGAGGGCAGUGGAAUUUCCGGUGUAGCGGUGAAAUGCGUAGAUAUCGGAAGGAACACCGGUGGCGAAGGCGGCUGCCUGGCCUGAUACUGGACACUGAGGCACGAAAGCGAUGGGGAGCAAACAGGGGAUUAAGAAACC